CACUCCUGAGCUCAGUGGUAGAGCGUCGCAUUCCAGGAAUCGUGGUUUCAUAUGCUUCGCGAAGGCCGUCCGUUCAAUCCGGGCAGGGGUCA